rnacentral:rRNA from 1 species
AAGAUUUAUCGCUUGGAGAGAGGCUUCGUUCCUAUCAGCUUGUUGGUGAGGUAAUGGCUCACCAAGGCGACGACGGGUAGCUGGUCUAAGAGGACGAUCAGCCACAAGGGAACUGAGACACGGUCCCUACUCCUACGGGAGGCAGCAGUUGGGAAUAUUGCGCAAUGGACGAAAGUCUGACGCAGCGACGCCGCGUGAUCGAUGAAGUCUUUCGGGAUGUAAAGAUCUUUUCUCUGGGAAGAUUAUGACGGUACCAGAGGAAUAAGCAUCGGCUAACUACGUGCCAGCAGCCGCGGUAAUACGUAGGAUGCGAGCGUUAUCCGGAAUUAUUGGGCGUAAAGGGCUUGUAGGCGGUUUUAUAAGUUUUAAAUUAAAUCUUGAGGCUCAACCUCAAAAUCUUUGAAAAUACUGUAAGACUAGAGGAUAAUCGGGGUAAAUGGAAUUCCCGGUGUAGCAGUGAAAUGCGUUGA